AGCAGCCGCCGCGGUAAUAUAGAGGGUGCAAGCAUUAUUCGGAAUGAUUGGGUGUAAAGCGUCUGUAGGUGGCUUUUCAAGUCCGCCGUCAAAUCCCCGAGCUCAACCCUAGACAGGCAGUGGAAACUACCGAUCUGGAGUACGGUAGGGGUAGAGAGAAUUUCCGGCGGAGCGGUGAAAUGCGUUGAGAUCGGAAAGAACACCAACGGCGAAAGCACUUUGCUGGGUCGACACUGACACUAAGAGACGAAAGCUAGGGGAGCAAAUGGGAUUAGAUACCCGCGUAGUCCCUGUCUCUUAUAC
rnacentral:rRNA from 1 species